rnacentral:rRNA from 1 species
GAUGAACGCUGGCGGCGUGCUUAACACAUGCAAGUCGAACGGAAAGGCUCCUGCUUGCAGGGGUACUCGAGUGGCGAACGGGUGAGUAACACGUGGGUGAUCUGCCCUGCACUUCGGGAUAAGCCUGGGAAACUGGGUCUAAUACCGGAUAGGACCAUCGUUUAGUGUCGGUGGUGGAAAGUUUUUUCGGUGUGGGAUGAGCUCGCGGCCUAUCAGCUUGUUGGUGGGGUAAUGGCCUACCAAGGCGUCGACGGGUAGCCGGCCUGAGAGGGUGUACGGCCACAUUGGGACUGAGAUACGGCCCAGACUCCUACGGGAGGCAGCAGUGGGGAAUAUUGCACAAUGGGCGCAAGCCUGAUGCAGCGACGCCGCGUGGGGGAUGACGGCCUUCGGGUUGUAAACUCCUUUCGCCAGGGACGAAGCGAAAGUGACGGUACCUGGAUAAGGAGCACCGGCUAACUACGUG